CGAUCAGUGUGUUCGUUCUGACUAGCUCUUAAUUGAGAUCACCUGUCACGCACCCCUUUAUUAAAGGUGAACACAAUGGGUUUGGUUUACUUUUUGCAUCGGCCUGUGUCAAUCGAGGUUGAGUUUAGUGAGGGUUGAAAGUUUUCGAUCUAGAUUGCCGAUCACUAUAGUCACUUUAUACAAACUGAAAGUAUGCGUUGUUGCGUGUUUGUUUUUGUGGGCAUUUGACUGAACAGCCCAGACAAAUAUUGCUACCAACAUGGCACUUCGAAACAGACCACCGCAGUGUUGGAUGACUGACAAGAUCUAUGGGGGGGCCCCCUUUGGGCCCCCCCAUACCAACUUAGUCUUCAAAGGAAUCUAGUGCCAUGGGACUCCAGUGUCUUCAAAACAUCCUCGGAAUACAUGUGUAUGAAUGGUCCACCGAAGGGUUGAUCUGGAAGCCACCACGGUCCACGCAGUAAUCUGCUGCGUGGGCCGUAGUGGCUUCCAGAGCCAUCUUUCGGUCUUGGUCAGGAUUUGUUACAGUUGCCCUUCAAUGUAGCAGGCUACGUGUUUCUGAAGAAGCCUGCUUUACGUAGCAUUGGAGUACAAAUAUUGUGCAAAAUGCUCAUGUAAUUGCACUAGUAACCUGUAGAUUAUCUUAGUUUAACGUCAUUCCGUGCUGUCUCUGUCAAAUGUGUGGCUUACUUUAAGUCCACAAGGCCCUCUGGUAAACCACGUUGGAAAACCCCUGGACAAGGUGAUAAGUCACUGGGUGUGUGCUAAAGUUUUGUUCCAUUUUUCACUAGUUGGUUGAGGUUUGGUAGAAUUGUUUGGAUGCUAGCGACGUGAUGGCGUAUGCACAAGAGCCUACCGUGGCCAGGCCACAGUUGCGACGGCCACGGCCAGAUGGCCUAGUGUGAGUGCAACCUUGAUUGCAUUUGUAUACUGUUUACCAUUGGAUGUUUAUGCAAUUGGGCUUAAUUCAUCUGCAGUAAAGCUGCAUUUGACUAUUCCAGGGUCGUUUUGUACAGGCUUUCAAUUGACCAUGUUGACUAGUUUGUGCAAAGUUUUUUUCUUUUUACCCUUGCUUACAAUCCAACGGUUGUGACCACUUAUGCAACUGGGCUGUGAACCUUGCAAUUCUAGAUGCAUAUUUGUACACGCAAGCUUGUCCAUUUCUAUCGCCAUCACUAGCUUCAGCAUUUCCUUGUAGGCCAUUAGCUGACUUGUGUAUUGGAGCGAUGAUUUGGGUAUUUUAAGAUGCUUGAAAACCUAAAAUAAAGCAAAAUGCGUGUCUAGUGUGCAAGAGCCAAUUUGUUGGCUUGCAGUAGUCGAGGAGUUGCCGUAGGGCGUAAGCCAUCUGGAGGUUGUGGCAAUGGAGGCUUGUAUAAAGACAAUUAUUCCCUGCCUAUCAAAAGAGACUUCUAAAACAUAUCUGCUAGAACAGUUCCUAUACUUUUUGCAUAAUUUGGUCAUGCUGCAAAUUUACUUUUUGUAGUUGCUCUAUAUUUAGUUCUUUGACAGCCUCACCUGCUAGAAAAGUCUAAUCAAAUCGGCUAAAUAUAAUGAACUAAAUUAAUAGCCAUGAAAUGUUGUCACUCGUACUAAUGGCAAAUACCCUCUUUCAGUUGGUGGUUCAACACUGAUGUCUCUCUAGGCUUGAGGGAGAGCUCACAAGUAAAUUACACGAAUGUCCUGGAGCAAUUGGGAAUACACUUUUAUUUAGUCUACCUGACCAGGGACAUCUUUGAACUAUAGGUCACCUAACCCAAACUUUUCACUCUCGCUAGGUUGUCCUUUUCUCUUGUUUUAACCCGAAAGGGCUGAAAUAUCAACAUUUCAGGUAUUCUGUUUGGAUAAUGUGCAAAACUUGGGGCUUCACUAAUAAAAAAAGUAACAAAUGUAUUUUUCUUAAUGUGGUUAAACUAUUUAAAGAUUUGUAUGCAAAAUAUUUCUGCUCAAUUUGUUGUCAAUGAAACUCUGACAUUUUUUAAUUUGAUAAAACACAACUAUAGGUUAAAGGUAUUUGCUUUGGGCAUCUUUUGAUAUUUUUAGAAUCUAGCUCCAUUGCCGUUAGAAAUGGUGUCUCCCAGUAAUGCAAAGUGCUUCCACAAGUUUAAAAAAAUGGGCAGAAAAGGAACUGCCAACUAAAUCUAUUUAACAUGGGUAGAAAGUUUCCAUGGAAGCUCUUGGCUGCUGGUUCCGAACACGGCUCCACUGUUAGCCUGUGACCUUGCGUUUGACUUUUUUCAACUUUUGGUGACUUUCACAAAAGAGAAAUGAACUGGUUAAUACAAUAAACAAGACAUUUCAUGGUACCAUUUUGAACUGUUUGUGGAUAUUGCAUUAAAUCCAUAUGCUUGAAACUUUUCAAUAAUGCAUAUCAACGAAACAAUGGAAUGAAAUAAAUAGUUCAAGCAAUUUGUGGGACUUGCUUUUACAUUAUUACUCAUUUUGGGGGUUAUUUCAGUCUCUCCAACCUGCAGGUCGUGCGAAGAAUCAUGUGAAUGGGA
ensembl:lncRNA